CUCUUAAAUUGUAUUGUAGAUCCAUCUCAAGCUCUAGUCUCCUUUCAAGCCGCUGCCAAGAGAGUUCCAAUGAUAGAGUGAUGUUAAAGGGGAAUCUUCUGGGAUAGGUAAAGAAAGUUUUUCUUUUCUGCACUUGGAAAUUUUAGUUCUGUUUAGUGCAAAAAUGUUGAAUGUAUAACUUCAACAUGCUGUGAUGGCUAAGGAUAAUUUAUCACAAUCCAUCAAUUGUGGAGUUGGUGGUGCAAGCCACUCACCUACUAAGAGUGAAGACUCGGGGGCUCAUUCACGUUACAGUCUAGACAAAGAGACAGGUUCAGCAACUUGUCGUGUGUGCCAAUGUACUGAAUCUGAUAAAAGGGGAGAUGCUGUAUUGGGAUUUUUGGGCAUCAUUAGCCCAUUGCAAGAGUCUUGUAAAAGUAGUGGAGCAAUAAAGCUUCAAAGCGAAGAAGUGUCAAUACACUGUGAAACCAAUGAUUUCCAUAGCAAAAAUGCGGGAAGAGAAUUUGGAUUAAUUCAGUUUGUUAGCCCUGAGGGGGAGGUUUUCAUUUGUAGUACAGAUUUGGAAAUGGGUUCAUGUCAUCAACAAGACUCUUUAAUUGAACUUGGUUGCUCUUGCAAAAAUGAACUUGCUCUAGUACACUAUGCUUGUGCACUCAAAUGGUUUGUUAAUCAUGGAUCUACUGUUUGUGAAAUAUGUGGAUGUGUUGC
rnacentral:misc_RNA from 1 species